GGGGUGAGUAGACGGAGGAGCGAUGUCCUCGACUCCCCCUAGCACCGCCGGUAGGGUACCGCGGGGCCAGAGUACCGCUGGUAGGGCUGGGGGAGCAACGGAUGUACCACGGCGGGGCAGAGCCGGUUUGGGAUCUUGGGCACGAUAAGGGGAGGCGCGGCGAAAAAGAAGAAAGGGUGCGCCUCGGCUCGUGAGGGCAGCAGCAGCGGAGCAGCUAGGGCGCCAGUGGUCGGAAGGGGGCGGCUCAGCUCUACAGGUCCUAGAGGGAGGAGUAGCAGAGGAAGCGGAUGUACGCAACCUUGCUCGGCCCUUCCGGGCAUGCGAGCGGUAGCUCGAGGAGAAGGGGUACGUGCAGCAGCAGUGGCGGCAGCUAAAGGUGGUGAGACCAGGCAGGGGCCGGAGGGGCUGGAGCGGUAGCUCGAGCGCUGGGACUCUGACGGCCGCUGGGGGUCAAGCAGAUGCCACAACUGCUGGGGAGAGAGAACGGUCUCGUUGGUCUGCUACCUCAGGUCCUCGGUCUGCGGUGGCAACCGCUGCUGAGGAUGAUGUGACCUCCACGGAUGAUGAUGCACGUCGGGCGACUGCUACUAGUCCUCAUCAAAUCCUCCUAGGGUCCGUCCUCCGGACGCGGAGAAAGCUAGACAUAGGGUCAAACACGAUCGGAAGAAUUCCUUUUGAACAAAUUGAAUACAAUCAUAAGUCUAUAACAACGAAGACGACUGAGCAGAUACUAGCUCGAGAACAUAAGCUCGGGAGCUCCGGGGACCGAACAUUAUACUACGAACAUACUGAAAAAAAUAAACAUC
rnacentral:rRNA from 1 species